ensembl:lncRNA
GUUUCUUUACGGAGGCAAGCUUCUUUGUCUCAGGGAUCGAGGGUUUUCCUAAAUCUCCCAGCUUUGCCCAGCCCCUGUCUGAGAAUAGCUGGACUGGGAUGAAACCACAGUGAGGGAGAGGGGUGGAGGUAGAGAAGGCUUCGGGUUUCUCUCCUGGACUGGGUGCACUCUGCUUAAUUAGCAUGAGAAUAGAAAGACGGUCUCCCUGCCUCCCUUAGGGAUGGAGAGGAACCGAAGAGCAAAGACUCACGCUCUGUCCUACUCCAUCAGAGAUUCUGGGACUGGGGAAAUGACCACUUUCACAUUCCUCCGAUCCUCUGCGGACCCCAGGACCCAGGGUACUGAGAAAAGCUUUGAUGGAGCCUGCUGGUGGAUCUCCACUCCAGAUUUUCCAGCUGUCCCUGUCCCCCCACCGCUCAGAGAGCAGGAUGCUGAGAUGGCUCGGUGAUGCAGAAGAUAAUUGACCAUGGGUGGAAACUCAAGAUGGACAAAGAGGACAAUCAGAAUAUUAAUGGAGAGGUGAUACAUGUCAAAGAGAAAAUAAGAAAAUGCAUCUCAACUGUAUGACUAGGUUGAAAAACAGUGAUAAUACUGGAAAUCAAGUCUUGAGGAGGGAACUAUCAUUAAAAAUGGAAAGAAACUGGGCAUCUGAGUCACUGCUUGAAGGAGAGCUGCCCUAUCAGGAACACCUACGUCAUACUGGAAUGUAAGCAAAUAAUCCACUGGGACUUUUGGGUUUUCUGGUAUUACCUGGAUUAAUACAGCUGUUGAUAUAGCAAACCUUCCCAGACUAUUCUGUUCUCUACAAAUUGUGAUCAGGUAGUCUUUUCUCUUGAUAUUUAGCCCUUUCCCUUUCUUCCCUAGGUCCUUUCUACCCUUCCUGCUGAAAGGUUGUUGCUGAGCCGUGAAAGAUACUGGGAUUCUUGGCCUCCAGAGGAGAGGAAUUCAAUCCAGGGCCAGUGACAAGGCUUGAUCACUCAGAGCUUUUGUGUGAUAAAGUUUUAUUAAAGUAUAAAAGAGAUAGACAAAGCUUCUGACAUAGACACCAGAAGGGGGCAGGAAGAGUGUCCCCCUGCUAGCCUUUGGCAGUAUGUCAUAUACCUAUCAGCAAGCUGCUAAUUAGAGAAAGGAAAUGUCUCAAAACUCAGAGUGGCACCAGGCCCCUCACCCAUAACAUGCAUUUGGAGAUAACAUUGGCACAAGAUGAAUCAUCCCGGGCCAUAAAACAAUUGACAUGAAUCUUGAAGAAAGGCAGGUUUCCAAGUAAAUAUAUAGUUUCAUUAAGAAACAGAGUAGGAGAACAAUGUAUGAGUAAAACAUACUGGUUUGUUGAGCCCUUAUCGGUUCUGAGUCUUAAGCGGAACCGACUUGAAGAAAGACAGAGUUUAGGGUAACUACAUAGUUCAUUAACAUAGCUUAAGGAAAACAUUUCCAUAAGAAAAAUGUAUUGGUUAGCUCAAGGUUUGAGAAAAGUUAAGUUCAGGUGGAACCAGGUGUCAUCAUGGCAACACAGAAUUUUAAAAGAAACCUCCUUUUAAUUCUGUAUAGAGAAGGAAAAAAUCUGACACUUGUAGUUCAUUUCCUCCUGCUGCUUAAGGGAGAAAUAAAAAAUGUCUGAUGCUUGCAGCCUAUUUCCUUCGUUUGGAGACCCCAGGCCUUCUUUCCUGAUACCCUCUCACUGCCAUCAUCUUCAGAUGAAUAAUGACAUCAGCAAAGAGCAAGAACAAAACAGUGGUUAUUUCAUUCUUGCAUGCAUUCAUUCACUCGUUUGUUUGUUUUUUUUUUUCUCUGCCUGACUCAAAUGCAUGGUGAUAGCCCAGAUGUUGGAUGGGAGCCAAGAACAGAUGUUUGCAGGCUAUUACCUUACACUCUUGUGUUGGAUAUAAAAAAGACUCCUGGUUUGAGAGACACACUACACUGAUCUGGAGCCUGGAGCAAAGCCCAGAAGAGCUACAGCUGAGCCACAGGCAAAUCACAGAUUCAUAAGGGAUGUUUGUUGUUGUGAGUCAAUAAGAUUUGGGCUUGUUUGUUGCUGAAGCAAAAGCUGACUAAUCCACCCAUCAUAUACUCAGAAGGAAGAUUAAAAGUGGAAUACUGGUGGCUAGCCACAUUGCCUUUUAAAGUGAAUGUCAAAGGGAUGUAACAACAGUUUCAGAAGCACACCUUGUGCCAAGUGGCUCCGAAAGACCUGAGAUCUGACUUCUACAAUCCUAGGAAGAAGAUAUGGCUGCCAAUUCAGCUUUGAAUAUCAAUAAAGAUACAGGCACUGACAUUUUGAUGAGUGGCAUUUCUGUUAUCCUACCUGAAAGAGGAGACUGAAAAGUGUUAUACCAUGGCACAAGAAACUGGAGAGCAAACUGUGCAGGAUCCCUGGCUGUCUCACUGGACUUCAUGAAGGCACUUUCCCAGUCAUACAAGGUCUACAACCAUUCUCGGGAUGGACUGGAAGAGAAUGAUGAGGCGUGUAGUAUGAUAGUGAGUUAGGUCUACUUUUCUAAGAUUUGGUAUGAAGUUGUACCCUCUUCUAGGGAGAUAUGAAUAAACAAUCUCAGGAGCCAUGCAGGUCAAAUAGGCUAAUGUGAACUGGUGAAGGUCAUUUUUGUCCUACUGCUGCUGCAGCCGCUGCUAAGUCGCUUCAGUCGUGUCCGACUCUGUUCGAC